AAAAAAAUCUCCCCUUGUCUAGUG
rnacentral:piRNA from 1 species